rnacentral:rRNA from 1 species
AGUGAACGCUGGCGGCGUGGAUUAGGCAUGCAAGUCGAGCGACCCUUGCUGAUUUUUUAUUGAAGUGCUUGCACGGAUAUAAAAUUGAAGCGCGGGAUAGCGGCAAACGGGUGAGGAACACGUGAAUAAUCUUCCUUAAAGACAAACAUAGCUUCGUGAAAACGGAGGUAAUAUUUGAUGUGGUGCUAGAUGUAAUGUCUAUCAUUAAAGGUGGGGAUCCUUCGGGACCUGCCGCUUUGAGAUGAGUUCGCGUCCUAUCAGCUUGUUGGUGGGGUAAAGGCCUACCAAGGCAUUUGACGGGUAGCCGGCCUGAGAGGGUGACCGGCCACACUGGGACUGAGACACUGCCCAG